rnacentral:tRNA from 1 species
GGAGAGGUGGCUGAGUGGCUUAAGGCGCCGCUCUCGAAAAGCGGUGUGCGGCAACGUACCGCGGGUUCGAAUCCCGCCCUCUCCGCCA